UACGAAGGGUGCAAGCGUUACUCGGAAUUACUGGGCGUAAAGCGUGCGUAGGUGGUGAGUUAAGUCUGUCGUGAAAUCCCCGGGCUUAACCUGGGAAUGGCAUUUGGGACUGCAAGGCUUGAGUGCGGCAGAGGAGACUGGAAUUCCUGGUGUAGCAGUGAAAUGCGUAGAUAUCAGGAGGAACACCGAUGGCGAAGGCAGGUCUCUGGGCUGACACUGACGCUCAUGCACGAAAGCGUGGGGAGCAAACAGG
rnacentral:rRNA from 1 species